rnacentral:rRNA from 1 species
GACGAACGCUGGCGGCGUGCUUAACACAUGCAAGUCGAACGCUGAAGCUUGGUACUUGCACUGGGUGGAUGAGUGGCGAACGGGUGAGUAAUACGUGAGUAACCUGCCCUUGACUCUGGGAUAAGCCUGGGAAACUGGGUCUAAUACUGGAUACGACAUGCCACUGCAUGGUGGUGUGUGGAAAGGGUUUUACUGGUUUUGGAUGGGCUCACGGCCUAUCAGCUUGUUGGUGGGGUAAUGGCCUACCAAGGCGACGACGGGUAGCCGGCCUGAGAGGGUGACCGGCCACACUGGGACUGAGACACGGCCCAGACUCCUACGGGAGGCAGCAGUGGGGAAUAUUGCACAAUGGGCGGAAGCCUGAUGCAGCGACGCCGCGUGAGGGAUGACGGCCUUCGGGUUGUAAACCUCUUUCAGCACGGAAGAAGCGAGAGUGACGGUACGUGCAGAAGAAGCGCCGGCUAACUACGUG